rnacentral:rRNA from 1 species
UACGAAGGGGGCUAGCGUUGCUCGGAAUCACUGGGCGUAAAGCGCACGUAGGCGGAUCUUUUAAGUCAGGGGUGAAAUCCUGGAGCUCAACUCCAGAACUGCCCUUGAUACUGGCGGUCUCGAGUCCGGGAGAGGUGAGUGGAACUCCGGAGUGUAGAGGUGAAAUUCGUAGAUAUUCGGGAAGAACACCAGUGGCGAAGGC